rnacentral:lncRNA from 1 species
ACAUUCCAUAAAGAUGAGAAAUAAAAAAUAUGAUUUUUUUUUUUUUGGGGGUCCAAAAUAGGAGAAAAACAGAGGAUAUGAUACCCUGUCUACUGAGGCCCUCUCUUUUGACUUUACCUUGUUACAUUUAACUUCUAUCUUUACUGUUGAGCCUUAAUCACUGUUGCUUGCUUUGUCUCUAUCGUUUUCCUCUCUCCCUCUCUAUAUAUCUCUCAAAAAAGGGGUGUGCUGAUUAACAUGUAAAAAGAAGCCAAACAUUGUUGGUGGGGUAUUCUACUUGAGAGUGUUUCUGACGAUUCCAAGCUUGAAUCUUCAUGUUUGAGCACCAAUGUUCUUUGGUUUUCUGCUGAAACAACAACAAUGAGGAAUAAUUGGGUUGGUUUGUUUCUCAUUCUCGUGGUUUUUGGUGGGUUCUCGUCAGUCUCAGCCUCCCCACCUGUUGCAAGUGAGUAUAAGCUCCAGAACCCUUAUGUUUCUUUUGCAUUUACUCACCUCUCUGCUUCAAAUGUUUGGUUUUGCUUCAACUUUCAACUCUGCCUUCAUUUUCAUAUUCUCCUUUUUGCAGAAAUUGUUAGUGGAAUUGUGUCCAAUGUGGUCUCUGCUCUUGUGAAGUGGCUGUGGUCACUGAAGUCUACCACCAAUACAGGUACAUAUCCUUUACUGAUCUCACAUAUAGCUCUGUCCCUCUGCUUCUUGCGGUUAUUCACACCUGUAGGCUAGACAUUGCUCUCUGCAAUUUUGUGGUUGAUGGGCUUGAUGGGAUUUGAUUUUUCAGCAAUUUCUAGCCGUUCCAAGAUGAAUUUUGAGGAUGGAUAUACUGUGGAAACAGUGUUUGAUGGUAGUAAGCUGGGAAUCGAACCAUACUCUCUAGAGGUAUCCACAAGUGGAGAGCUUCUAGUUUUGGACUCUGAAAACAGUAACAUUUACAAGAUCUCAUCCCCACUGUCUCGAUGUAAGCUACUUUUUUCUAUAAUGGUUAGGAAUUGUUCUUAAUUAAAUGUGUUUAGUUGAGUUCUAUUAUCUAAGUUCCAUCUUCCCAUAAAGUUGUUGUCAUUACUUGGUUUUAGUAGGUAUGCCUUAAUACCCAGUUAAAGUUCCAUAUCGAGAUUUGUUGUUUUGUGUUUUUGGCCUUGUGGAAGGACUUGGCUUCAUUCUUUGGGGAUACUUAUUUUUCUGAUUUCUUAUUAGUUAUUUCUUGAAAGAUCUCUCACCCAAUCCCAGCUUUUAGUUUUCAUCCACUUAUGAAAAAUGAGGUUUUAAUUUGCUUUUGUUUAGCAGAAGACUCCACUUUUGAAAGUACAUUAGACCUUUUAGUUUUGUUUCUGGAGAACCAAUUCCAUCUUUUAGUGAUUUGCUAUCUUUCACUUUUGUGACGAAGUUUCUUUAUUGACACUCUAGACUUGUUCUUCUGUCCUUUUUUCUCUAUCAGUCUAUGGUCCUUUAUCUUUGUUAUCUAAAUGAAGAUUCUCACGCACUUUUCUACAGAGCAAACUCAUGAUUGUAUACUCUAAUGUUUGGGAAUCUCUUUGAGCUUCUACAAGAAGCCACACCCAUUUUAAUUUUUCUUUUUUCAAAUUUAUGGGUCCAUUCAAAUUUUUUGGUAAGGCCUUUUUUUAUGUAGAACAAUUUGGGUAGAUUUUCUUUAAUCACCACCUGCAUUUCAUUACCAUGGCUUCUGUUUUAUAUGGUUCAGGCAAAGAAUGUUGAGUCAGAUUAUGUUGUUGUUUAUGGUUCUACCUCCUUAGUAGCUUGGUUGUUUUGGUACAGUUCUACAUGUUUUGUAUGUUAAAGUUGAUGAUGAACUGCAGAUAGCAGACCCAAACUGGUUGCUGGCUCGCCUGAUGGGUACUCUGGGCAUGUAGAUGGGAAGCUAAGAGAAGCAAGGAUGAACCAUCCAAAAGGGCUUACAAUGGAUGAGAGAGGAAAUAUUUACAUUGCAGACACUAUGAAUAUGGCUAUCAGGAAGAUCAGUGAUGCAGGUAAACUUCAGGUGUUUAAGGCAUUCCCUCAAAUUAAUGAACACAACUAUCUUCUCAAUUGAUCAUACAUGAUACUAAUUUUUCAAUUAAAACAUCACUUGUUAUUGUUGAUUACAAAUCUAAUAAUCUUGACUUCCAUAACAUAAUUUAGCAGUUUACCUAUUUUUCACAUGCCCUGUCUCUCUAUAUUAAUAUGGCACUGUCUAUUUGCCAUAGAUGAGCUAAAUCAUCAGAUUGGUAUUUAACCCAAGGAUUUGCUUUAUGCAGGAGUUACAACUAUAGCAGGAGGAAAGUGGGGGCGAGGAGGGGGCCAUGUCGAUGGUCCAAGUGAAGAUGCAAAGUUCUCAAAUGAUUUUGACGUGGUUUACAUUGGAAGUAGUUGCUCUCUUUUGGUUAUAGACAGAGGAAACCAGGCAAUUCGGGAGAUCCAACUUCAUUAUGAAGAUUGUGCUUACCAGUAUAAUGGUAGUUUUCAUUUAGGUAAACUCAGAUUGGCAAACUUUGUCAUUGCCAUCACUUCUCCAUGGUUAUGGAGAUUUAUGAGACGGUUUUCUCUUAUUGCUGUUGCAGGGAUAGCAGUCCUUGUUGCAGCUGGUUUCUUUGGUUAUAUGCUGGCAUUGCUGCAACGUAGAGUGGCAGCAAUGUUUUCUUCCCAAUAUGUAAGUGAUCCAGCAUUUUUUACACUUCGUUUUUGGAUCUUCAUUUAAGGAUCAAAUUUCUUGAAUUAUCAUGAACUUACUGAAUCUUGAAAAUCAAUCAUUAAUUGUUCUUUAAAUGCUCAAAUCGUUGGAAAUACCUCAAAGUUAUGCAUGUUAAGUUCCUAAUGGUCAGUCCAAAUCUGAUCUGAGAUUUCCCUAUCAAGCCUGGUCACAGACUAUUCCUGCUAAUGGAAACUUGUCAAAGUUCAUUUGCCAAUUCUUUUCAUGAUAAGUCCAGUGUAAGUUCAAACUUAUUUGACUUGUUUGAUAUGUUAUAAACAUCUUGCUCGUUCAUACUUUCUAGGAUUCAAGCACUCCUAUGAAGAAAGGUAUGCCUCCAGAAUCAUAUCAGAGGCCUCUUAAAUCAGUCAGGGCCCCCUUAAUCCCAACUGAAGAUGAGUAUGAGAAAGCAGAUGAGGGGUUCUUCGGUUCACUUGGGAGGCUUUUCCUCAACACAGGUUCAACUCUGGCUGAAAUAUUUGGGGGAUUGUUUUCAGGUUCUAGAAAGAAGCCACCCCACCAGCAAAUCCAGCAGCAGUACGGGCAACCGAAUGUGCACUCAAAUGGCUGGCCCAUGCAAGAGAGCUAUGUGAUUCCAGAUGAAGACGAGCCACCAUCAAUAGAGUCCAGAGCCCCAACACCCAAGAAAACUUAUCCAUUUAUGACUCCAGAAAUGGAGAAGACCCACCAUUUCAGGCAAAGUCGGACUUUCUACAGUAAUGGUUGGGAUGGGAAUUAUCAACAACUGCAACAAAAGCAGAUACAGCAAAAGCAGCAAUACCAGCAGCACCAUCAAAAGCAUUACUCAUCGAAUCCCCAGACUUACUAUGAGCAGAGCUGUGAGACAAAAAAUGAGAUUGUUUUUGGAGCAGUUCAGGAGCAGGAUGGACGACGUGAAGCUAUGGUGAUAAAGGCUGUUGACUAUGGAGAUCCUGUUUAUAAUCACCAUAACAUUCGACCCCGUCUCAAUUACAUGGGUUAUUCCCAUGCCUACUGAUCUUGUGUCCUAGGAAUAUAUAUGAAACUGGAAGAUGAUAUUUUUGAAAUGAAAGUAGGAUUGCACUGUGAUUUUCCUUUUUUUUUUUUUCUUUAAGAAGGAAUUUUAGUUCUCCCAAGUUUCCUUCAGUGAAUGAAUGUAUGACAAAGCAACACACAAACCAUGCAGAAUCUGUAUCGUCUUUUUGACUUUGAAAUCAAGAGAAUCAAAGAUUGGUCACUUUCCUUCUAAUUAAGCUGGAAAUGUGGCAGUUCCAGUAUAAUCAUUAGUUUUGUAAUUGGAGGAUGGAAUAUAGCCCGAGAAUUUGGAAGAACUAGUCUUGACAACUCAAACUUAUUAAACUUUGGAUUAUGAUUCAUCGAUUCCCAGAAAAUUCAUGAGGCUUCUUCUGCAGAAGCUAGUCUGGCAGGUUGAUCUCAUCCACCUUACCAAUGAACCACCCAGCUUACAUACCUUAUCAACUCAUCUUUUACCUCUGAAAAGUUCAUAUCAGGGAAAGAACUUGUGUAGCUGAGGACCAUUGCAUAAUGCACAUACUGAAGUUAAAUUGGCUGUUGUGAGUGGCACAAUCACCAAGGCAGGCAACCGGAUCCCCCACAAUUAAUCAAGAUCACAUGUAUUCUGAUGGGGACCAGAUAAAACUGUAGCACUAGGAGGUUUCUGAAUCAGUCCAUUGAGAAUCAAACAAGCAUGACGAUGAAAAGAAUUGACUGAGUCAUAUCUAUUAUUUUUUUCCAUUAAAUUCUAAUAACCCAAUUCCUAAUUUUACACAGAAAGAUACAAUUGUACCUCUGUAUUUAUGGGAGCAGCAGCAUGACUUUUAUCUUACAUUGAAAGGUGAAAAUUAUUGAGCUCACUCCAGAAACUCAAGGGCCCCAUUGAUCCAACACAUGGCAUUUAGCAUCCCAACAUGUGGGGAUUCCUCUUUGAAUUCCUUAAGCAUCUGCAGAAACAUGUUUUUCUUAUUGAAAGAACCUCAUAACAGGGGCCGGAAAAAUAGAAAAUAAGCUUCAUAUUCUCACAUCCAAAUGGGAGAAAAUUCAUACAAAAUAACUCCAUCUAGCAUUGAGAAUCAUUCUAUAAAUUUCAGAAAGACUGAAAGAACCAACCGUGUUUGAAAAGAAUUAAAGUAUUAAUAGACACAACAUCUGCAAUAAAUUAUGAUCUUCAUUUAUGAACUACCCUGUAGUUGAUGUGAAUAACAGAACAAUGAUGAACAAAAGAAUGGUUUUCAUUCAUUGGUUUCUAUACUUUUUUUUACAAGUAACUAUAGUUUCCUCUGACUUUUGACAUGAACUAAAUGGAUCUCAUACCGAGAGCAAAGCUGGAGUCCCAUUAAUUGUGUGCACCAUUAACAAAAGAGUGGCCCUCCCCAGGACUGGGACCAGAGUUCUUGAUCCCCCAGAGGCCAAGCACUUCAACAUACCGGUUGGCCCUCUCCAUUAGGCCAGGAACUGACUUCAUCAUGGCGCUGUGGUCAUGUAUGGGGCGGGCUUGUAUGUAGGAAGAGAGCAGGAUGAAGGUGAUGAAGAAGAGAACUGAGAGGAGGGUCUUGGCCAUGAAUGAAUGAAGAAAAUGAGGAAGAUGAUUGGAUUGUAUAGAGAUGGCUAUGAGGUUUGUGUAUAUUUAUAGGAAAGAAAAGGUCGUAGCCGUGUUUGACUACAAAUGAAGGAGAAAUGCUCCAUUCAAACUAGUACUGUGGUUUCUAAGUUAGGAAGCUGGGGAGGAAACUCACGGUAGUUGAAGAAUGGGUGUUUGGAGACUCGGAAUUUGAGUGUUCAACAAGUCUUUUGAAUUCUUAAAUGGCAUUUUCCAUUGAAUUUCUCUGCUUUCUGUGUCCCAAAUCUUGGCAUGUUGGCUAAAAUACUAAAUGCAACCUUCUUAAAAAAAUACAUACAAAAAUUAUUAAUUUUUAUGGAGGAUUGAAUUUUAAUAUUUAAUUUAUUUAGAUUUUACAUGUAAGUGGAUAUUUGAUAAAUCAAUUUAAUAACUUAAAUUGACUUAAUAACUUAAUUUAAGACAUUAAGUAAAUUAAAUAUAUUUUAUAAAAUAAUUUAAUGUAUGAUUUAAAAUCAAAAAUAAUUUUAAAUAAUAAAUAAAAAUAAUUAAUUUAUUCUUAAAUUUGUAUUUUUAAUUUAUUUUUUUAUUUUCGUUUACCCUAAUUACUUCAAUAAUUUCUUUUAUUAUUUACCAUCUUGAUUGUUACUCAAUCUCCUUUAUCAUAAUCAUAAUUUAUAAAGAUAAAUAUAUCAAUUUGAUUUAAAAUAAUUUUUAAAUUAAUUUUAUCAAUCAAUUUUAAUACUUAUAAUAAAAAUUAAGUAAUAAGUUUUAAGUUAAUAAUUUAAAUAUAAUUUAACUUAAAAUUAAUUUAAAUUAUUAAGCGUAUUAAAUUUUGUCAAAUAGCACAAUCAUUUCAUCUUUUGUAUGCUUAAUUAGUCGAAGCAUUUCCUUAUGUGUUAAGUAAGAUUAAAUAAUAAUAAUAUUAGGUAUGGUAGAUGAAAUCGGUUAAUGGGUAUUUGUUUUUUAAAAUAUUAAUUAUUAUAUAAAUUGUUGGAAAAAAGAAAAGAAAAAAUGAAAACAUGUGCCAGUAGACCUUUGAAUACAUGGGGGCCACGUUUCUUGCGUGUAUGUGUGAGUGACUGAUCAGUCAAGUCGGACCGUUGAUCUGCUGACUCAUCUCUUAGAUAAAGAUCAACAAAAAAAAGAAGUCAAAUUCACCUAACAAAAUUUCAAAGAAAAUAUUUUAAGAAUUAAAAAUUUCAACAAAAGGAAAUCAAGCUUGACUUGAACAGCAUAUUUAAUUUCUUUUCAUAUUUGGAAAAGAAAAAAAAAAUUGGCAUUCAAAAUUGGACGUGGGAAGAGGAAAGUGAAAAUAAUAAAAUAAAAUAAAUAUACUAGAAUAAUAUUAAAAAAUUGUUAUUUAGCAUAUAUUAUUUUUUAAAAUAUUUUUUUUAUUUCUUUAUAAAUAUUAAAGAAAUAAGACAGCUAGAAUCAGUCAGCCUUGGAGUUCAAAGAGGUGCACAUGUUCCACUUUGGAUUUGUACGAAUAAACACAUUUUUUAUUUUAGGGUAGUUGGGAACUUGGAAGAGAGAUUUAUUUUAACAUUUAUUAUGAUUUAUUUUAUUUUAUUUUUCAUUUUUUUCUACACAUUUAUACUUGGAAAAUGUUGAAGCGUGAUUGAUGGUGUGAUUUGAAAAUAGUUUUUUAUUUUUAAAAAUAAAAAAUUAUUUUUAAAUUUUUUUAAUAUUAUUUGGUUGUUGUUUUUGAUAAAUAAUAUGUAAAAAUAAAGUAAACUAGAGAACAAUUUUUAGAAAAUAAAUAAAUUGUUUUUAUCGAUUUUUAAAAACAAAUUUUAGAAAGCAUGACUAAAGGAGCCUUCAAUUUUUUUUUAAAAUAGAAUUUUAAAAUUUGUCUUAUUUUAUUCUACUAUUUGCUUCUUCGAAUUCUAAAACUUUUUCAAAUUGAAGUGACCGAACAACCCUUUUUUCCUUGAUAAGAAAAUACAUAUCUAUGUUUUUAUAUCAACAAUCAAAUCACAUAGAACAUGAAUGAAAAUAAGUAAAAGGGUUUCUUUCAUUCAUUUUCUUGAGAAUCAAACAUGAAAUUUCUAAUCAAAUAAUUAACCUUUGAAGAAUUAUUUUUGGGCUUAAAAUAAUGUAUUUGUCCAAAUCUUUAGUCUAUUUAAAAGGAAGAAUUAGUUUAAUAAAAUGCUUGUAUGCCAAAACAAGUGUUGGAUUCGCUAGUGGCUUAGAUCUUAUAAUGCCUAAACUUUGGCACCAUUUGAUUGAAACCAAUCAAGGUGCAAAACAUGGCUCUCUAAGGGAGUAUUCAGUCAUUUCAUUGACAACGACCAUGACGUGGCACUAUUACAACCAAUCAUCAAAAAAGUUGCACGGAACCUGAUGCGCAGUGGAUCCCAUCCACUGCGCGCCUUCCCACUUCUCGACCGUUAAAAACCGUUUAAAUAACCGCAGAGAAGGCAGAGAAACGGAUCUACCGGCAACGACAGGUGGACAACCGCUACUAAAACAGUAGUUUCGUCUAAGAGCAAGUAUCCACUGUAAACAGCCUCAGAAGCUCAUAGCUUCAAAUCCAAUCGAGGCUUUCCACGUCAAUGUGACUGUAUUUUUUAUGACGUGGCUUCCACCUAUUGGUACAGCUGCGUUCCCAUGCUUGGAUUAGCUGUUACCGCUUAAAUUGUGUCCCCGUCAUGAAUACCUGGCAACUGGCAAUUUCAGGUAACGGUAAUAAUAACAGUUUUCGUAUUAAGAGAGGCGGGGGAGAGGACAGCGAAUUGGGGGUUUCUGGAGAUCGUCUUCUCUCUUCGAAAUCCUGAUUUCGAAGAAGGAGAUGGCUUCAGGAAACACUGAAACCGAAUCCGAAAUGGCGGAUAUGGCGUUCGCAAAGCGAGGUUGUUGUUUCUGGAUGCCGUGUUUGGGCUCCGAGCGGUCUGCCAGGGAUGGAUCAGUGUGGUGGGAGCGGGUAGGAGGCCCGGCCGAGAAGAAAGAUGGGUGGUGGAGCAGAGGCUUGAACGCGCUGAAACAGAUCAGGGAGUGGACGGAGAUCCACGCUGGUCCAAGAUGGAAGACCUUCAUCCGGCAGUUCGGGAAAAGCCGCGGCGGUGGCGGAGGCCGGCACGGGAAAUUCAAUUACGAUCCAUUGAGUUACGCCAUGAACUUCGACGAAGGACCGAGACAGUACGGUCAUUUGGAUGAGGACCACGGCUACCCUGAUUUCUCCUACCGGUACGCAUCAUUGCCGCCGUCGGUAAAGUCGUCGAUGGAUCUCGGCAACGAUGGGCCGUCAUUCACGUGAGUGGCACACGAUGACAGAGACGAAAGAACCGCAAGCGGUAGACACUUGGCGCGAACUUCGGCGUGGACCCGGAGCAUCGUCAAGUGUAGCAGUUGGUUGACUUUUUGGACGGUAUUGAUUGCCUGGCCAAUCAGCGUCGUAUUUUUUUUCCAGUAUUUUAUAAAAAAUUAUUUAAUAAUUCCAUUUCCCAUUGUCAAAACUCAGAAGAGUCAGAUAAAAAAAUAAAAAAUAAAAAGGAGAAAAAUAGAAGGUUUUGAUCGUCUAUGAGGAUGUCCAGGGUCUAGAUGGUGGGGGAGCAAAAGGAUUUCUUUUCAAUAAGAUAGUGCAAAUAAGUUCUUCAGACUGCACGCCAACAAAUUCAGACCUUUUCCAAAAGUCGAUGGCACUUCAACCACUGCCUCACGUAAUCGCAGAGCUGAAUCACUAACCCACUCCAGUGGAUACUUUAUUUGUUUAUUUAUAUGUUGAGUCUGAAAACAAAUAAAUAAUUGCUGAUGGAUUCUUCUAUAAAAUGGGUUCACUUCCAAAAGUGAGAUCAAUGAAUCUAGUAGUUUGUAUAAGUCUAAUCUUAUUAUUUUGUAAUUGCUUUGCUUUGAUGGUACUUUUUUUUAAGCAAAAGCAAAUGGCAUGCUACCCAAUUUAGAUUUGGCUGAUGUUGAGUGGUGUUUUGAGGCGUGGGGAUGGAAAUGGUGUAGAAACUGAGGAUGACUGUCGACCCACUUCUUCUUAGUGAUGAAAUCCAAAAGGGGUUUAGCACUGAAUGGGUUCAAUUGUCGACCCACUCUCUUUUGUGUCAUUAUUUCUCCUUUUUUCUUCCCAUUUGGCACCUCUCAUUUCUUUCCCUCAUCCCAUCAUGCCCCCUUUUUCCUCCUCGUGGCCUAUCUCAUCCUCACCCACACCCCCAAUUUUCUCUGUCCUUAUCCUUGUUUUCUUGCUGCAUUUGAGUUCUCACGGCUUCUUGAUUGACUUCCGUGGUGUUGGUUGCUGUUAGUAACCACAUGUGCCACGGUCUUCCCAUCACCUCUCAAUUGCUGUGACCUGUCUUUGCGGCAAAGCAUCAUCCCUUUGUCCAUGGAAGUAAAGAAGUGCAGAGGGGGAACCUAAAAGGGAUGGACAAAAUGGGGUUUGAAGCAGAAAAGAGUGCAAGUAAUCCUCUUGUUUCAGUGCUGAUAUGUCCACGGGCAAAUGAUCGCUGAAACUCACACUGGAUGUGUUAUUCAUGGGUCUUUUUGCCACAAGAUUUGCUAAUUCUGAAUAUGAAUCAGGCCAUGAAUGUGCAUAAACAUGUACUAGAUGUAUGAUGAUCUCUUUAGCAUUCUCUCUCCUCUACAUGCUGUGCCCCACACACCCUGUUCUUCUUGGGCUAAACUGCACUUUAAAGGAAGCUUGAGCCCACCAGUCCCCACCAUUUAUCGGGAGUGGAAGCGGGGCCUCUUACCAUUUAUUAUACUGUGAUUUGACCCACGCGCUUCUACGUUGAUGGACAUACAAGAGACAAAUGUACCCGAGUUGUCUUUUUGAGAUACUUCACAUUAAUCGAAGUAGUUGGUAGCCAGACUGUAGAGCCCACUUCAUGGCAGUAGUUUGAUGCAAAUCCAAAUCUGUAACUGGUUGGCAACCGCGUGGGGUUCAUUUCUGUAUUGGAGUCUACUGAGCCCAUAUCAUUUAGUGGAUGGAUCACUCAUCCUCCAAAGUUAAAAAUAAGCGUCUAUAAAGCAGUAAAGCCACGGAGGAAAGCAGGAAAACAAACUUGGGAAAUACAGUAAGAGGGAAAAAUCUCAGAUGCCGUGGGUGGAAUUCUUUUUGGGUAUCCAAUGAGAAGGUGGAAUCCCACUUGAUUAUACAGCCAAAGAUGAUGACUGGUGAAGAUGAGAGAGAGAGAGAGCAAGAGGUUUUUGACAAGGGUGAGAACUUCUACGAGGUCACAUGGGUAGAUGAAGGCAUGAGACUCCACGCCAUGGCCAUCACUGCUACACCCAUGUUAUGAAUCAAAGGUCUCAUCGCCAAAACUAAAGAUUCUGUUCACAGUGCUUUUCAUGGAUCCCACCACCACUGCCCAAGCCCAAAAGAUCGUGCUCGCAUUUAUCCCAAAAGGUUUAUGAAAAAACAAAGAAAAAAAAUUGAACUAAAGACUCAAAAGACCAACAAAGCCAAAAGAAAUCGGCCCCUCUGAUCUGGAUCGUGUUCAGACAAACCCUGAAAAAAGGGUAAAAGAGAGGGAAAGAACAUCUCAUGCAUUUGAAUGUUGGACCAAUAAAUGGAAAUGAAUUGUCACAAAAUGUUCGCCCAUGGAUGGGGCCAUGGCAUACUUGAACUUUUGGAGUUGUCCGGAGGAAUAAGAGCUGAGUUUAAACAUAGUCGAAGCUCCAAAUUAACAAUCGAUGCUCCAAAUUAACAGUCGAUGCUCCAAAUUUUCAAGGUUUAAAUGCAAAUGCAAUGAUUAGGCAACAACAUAGGCGGGAAGGGGAGACGACACUGUUUAGGAAAAAAAAUGUUCAUGAGUGCUUGUCUGCCAACUAAACCCUGCUUUAAAAUAGUCUUAUGGCACAAUAGUUGGAAUCGCGGAAAGAAAAACUUUUUCUUUUUGGUAUUUGAUACUUUAUUGCAGAAGAACAAGAAAAGACUAAAGAUUGCAUCCUAUAAUUGACAGAUACUCUACCAUCCGUCUCCACAAGAUCGAUCGCCCUUGAAUAGAAAACAUGUUCAAUGACAACAUUCCCAAUACCAGCGCCCCUAGGAUAAUGUAAUCCCUCUUAAGAUCUUUCCCACCAAGACAUGGUUCAACAAUUGUUGGGGGAGGGGUACAAUUCACAGGAUGUGCAAAAUGUAAACAAUAUACACUCAUAUGAACAUCUUCUUCUACAAGAGAUAGGAGUUAAAGGCAUUUCUAAUUCAUCACUUCGGGAAAAAAGAGAUCAAAAGAUGAGUUUGGGUUUUCGAGUUUCAAUCAAGGAUACAAGUACAAUGGUAAAAUUACCGUGAGAGAUCAAUCAUAUUCUUGAAUUAGCAUCCCAAAAAUUGUAGGAAGAAAAGGCAAACAGUAAGACUAAAACAAGCUUUGAUCAAUGGAUCAACAAUGAAUCAUGGAAGCAGAACAGAAAAUACCUUUCACAUCUCUUGUUUUCUCCCCAUCCAUGGCAGGUCCACAUUAAGAGAAGGCAUACCGGUCUGGGUAUUGUCUGAGGAGCUUGGAAAUUUACCCUUCUUCGACCAAAGCCAGAUUUUGGAAACAGAAUAGCUGUCACCUUUAGUCACAAAACUAUUCCUUGUCCCUUCUGUUUCCUCAUUAAUUGAAGGAUUUGCAUUAUUUUCUAUCCCUUUCACAAUCUUCCCAUCUGGAUGUUGUUGUUCAUGGUUCAGAGCCACCCGCAAAAUUGAAUCACCAACAACAUAUUGAAAUGAACCCAUGGAGUAGCAUCUUCUUGCAUCUAAAUUACUGCUGCUGGUCUCUCCUCCUGCUGUUUCCCCUGAUCCAUCAGCCACCUUUCUGAAUUUACCAAGUCUCACAGGAAAAACCCCCUUUUCUCCAACAACUUCUUCAAUUUCUACUGUCUUUGGACCAGAGGCGAACCCAUUUUCUCCAUGACCAGGAAAACCAUCUUCUUCCCUCAAAUCAUCGAAAUCAAAAAUUGGGUUUUCCAUUGAGAAGCCAGGAGCAAAGAGGGUCCCUCUACAGAGAGGGCAUGUUGAAUUUGAUAGGAGCCAAGUAUCUAUACAAUUGAUAUGGAAUGCAUGGCUGCACACAGGAAGCAAUCUCAGCUUGUCCUUCUCAGAAAAUUCACAAAGACAAACAGCACAGUCAAAUGGUUCUUUCAGACCCACUAUCUCUUUGUACAAGAACACUGGGAGGGCGUCUAUAAAGGCUUGAUCCAGACCAGAGUCGUGAAGAUGAAAGAGUUGCUGCAGCUGCCUUUGAAGAGCAUCAGAUUCAGAAAUUUCAGGGUAUCUAUUAGAUUGUGAGGAUGUGGAAGAAGAAGGAUGCCUUAUGAGAAAUCUAACAAGCAAGUGGAGAAGGCCAGAGAUGAAGAACAGAACAGCUACAAUCACUAUAAUGAAAAGAACAGCUGGACUUAUUCUAGUACCAGAGGAUGAUGAAGAUGAAGGUGCUGUUGAUCCUUUAUGAAAAGCAGCAGUAUAUGGAGAUGAAGAUGAUGGAGUCAGAGGAGGUGGGUAGGUCAGAUAUCCAUCUUUCUGCUUGAUUUGAUGCUGAAUCCAAGACAUCUUCAAAUGGGUAUGCCCAAAAAACCAUCUAUGCUCUCUUUCUGACAUUGAACAGACCAUCUGGGAACACUCAAAAACCAUGCCUUUUCCCUCAUAGAUCAACCCAACUCAUCUUCUCACCACUAGAGCUAGCACAAACAGUUUCUUCUUCCCCUAAAUAUAGAAGCACAAAACUCCACUCCCUCAACUUUUUCCCUCAGAUUUGACAGAAAACAAGGGUGGUUCAGUAGGUUGUAUGGUGCAACAAGUACCAUUUUUUUAUGCUUCCAGCUGAAACCCAACUCACUGAUUGUUCAAUAACAAGAGAAUAUGACAUGACAAGUGUUAAGGUGAGAACCACCUACCUUGAUUCUGAAGAGUCCACCAUUAAUAUAGACUUAAAAGCUCUUGCAAAUGGAUGCUCUUUGCAGCAUGAAAAACCCUAAGCCACAGGCUUUUUUGAGGUGAUUUUCACUCUUAUAUCUCAAACGUGAAUAGGAAAGUGAAAUGUGGCUACUCACUUUCUCUCUCUAGACCACCCUUCUUUCUCUUUCUCUCUCUCUCUCUACUCUGGUAGAAACCUUGGAACCCAGAAGGCUGGCAGUGACAGCAGUUUCCUAAAGGAAGCCAAAAAGAACUGAAGUGGGUCCACGCGCCAAUCAAAGCGAGUGGGUAAAAUAGUCAACCACAAGCGACAAGGUACUGCUUCCAAUGUGGGCUCUUCAAAAGUGGGCCUGGGCUUUCCCACUUGUGGGCUUGGUGAACAACGAUCCCAUGCAAUAGGGUGCAGCACCAAGACCCUGAUGCCUCAUUUUCACACCUUAAUCAAGGGUUGAAAUACUCAUCACUUUGUUAAACAUUGGGUCCAUGGCACCCUUAUCAAGCCCAUCACAUAUGGAUCAUCUUUAAUCAAACAAUCACACUGUCUCGAUCGAUCGCCACUCAUGCAUCAAACCUUAAUUAGUCCAUACAAGAAAUGCAUACAAGCAUCUCCCAAAUCCAUUUCAUUCAUCUUUCCUUGAAUUGUAUCUUGCAUUCACUUUCAAGUAUUUAUUACAUUCAAAUUGAUGGUAUAGCUCACAUUUCUUGAGUGAUUUGGAUUAAGAUAUUACUUGUAGUUGUGGGUGUCUUUCAAGAUUGGAACAUGUGAAUGCCUCUUUAUCUUGUGGCCAAAGGCAAUUAGGU